GACGAACGCUGGCGGCGUGCCUAAUACAUGCAAGUCGAACGCAGUGGGGACGGGUGAGUAAAACGUGGGUAACCUCCCAUCAGAGGGGAUAACACUUGGAAAAUGGUGCUAAACCCGAUACUGAUGGAGGGACCCGCGGGGCAUUAGGUAGUGGGUGAGGUAACGGCCCACCAAGGCCACGAUGCAUAGCUGAGCUGAGAGGGUGAGCAGCCAAACUGGGACUGAGACACGGUCCAGACUCCUACGGGAGGCAGCAGUGGGGAAUAUUCGGCAAUGGACGAAAGGCUGACCGAGCAACGCCGCGUGAGUGAAGAAGGUUUUCGGAUUGUAAAGCUCUGUCGUUGGAGAAGCGGUAUUUAAACAGAAAGCCACGGCUAACUACGUGCCAGCCGCCGCGGUAAUAC
rnacentral:rRNA from 1 species